rnacentral:misc_RNA from 1 species
GAGCAGGUUAAUGCCAUCAAGGAGAUUUCUGACCACGUCACCCAGCUGAAGCGCGUGGGGGCAGGUCUGGGCGAGUACCAGUAUGACAAACAACUCCAGAGCUGAACCAAUCUCCACAGCUGCCAGUCCAUGUUAUAAUCCGGCUCUAUUGCCCUGUGUUUCCAGUUUUGGACUUCUAUUGUGCAUUUAAAUUACUAUCUCUGUUAUUUGACUGGCAUUUACUCAGUUUAUUGAUCAAAAAACAAAUAAAAAACUGUAAAACGUU